GACGAACGCUGGCGGCGUGCUUAACACAUGCAAGUCGAGCGGUAAGGCCCUUUCGGGGGUACACGAGCGGCGAACGGGUGAGUAACACGUGGGUGACCUGCCCUCAGCUCUGGGUUAAGCCUGGGAAACCGGGUCUAAUACUGGAUAUGACUCCAUGACGCAUGUUGUGGGGUGGAAAGCCUUGUGCGGCUGAGGAUGGGCCCGNGGCCUAUCAGCUUGUUGGUGGGGUGAUGGCCUACCAAGGCGACGACGGGUAGCCGGCCUGAGAGGGCGACCGGCCACACUGGGACUGAGACACGGCCCAGACUCCUACGGGAGG
rnacentral:rRNA from 1 species